rnacentral:piRNA from 3 species
AUUUCCGUGGAGAGGAACAAUUCUG